rnacentral:lncRNA from 1 species
CUGAUGCCCAUUGAUUUCAAGUCUGCCCUUGCUUUCGGUCCAUCUUUGGUCCUCUCUGGCAUGUUGAGCAGGGUACCAAGCAGACUCUCGCACACGUUCUUCGUGAUAUGCAUGACAUCAAGGCUCUGAGGCACACGAAGGAUCUUCCAGUACGGCAAGUCCCAGAAAACAGACCUCGUUUUCCAUACCUUCAGCAGCGGCUCUGGCGCUUUUCG